UAAACUGUUUUAGCCAGGGGGUAAACCUACCGUUGCGUUCGUAGCUGAACGUACCCCGGAGAAUAAGCAUUGGGAUUAUUCCGUGCCAGCAGCCGCGGUAAUACGGAGGAUGCGAGCGUUAUCCGGAUUUACUGGGUUUAAAGGGUGCGCAGGCGGUUGUUUAAGUCAGGGGUGAAAGCCCUAUGCUCAACAUAGGGAUUGCCUUUGAUACUGAACGGCUAGAGUGAAGAUGGAGUGGGUGGAAUGUGUUGUGUAGCGGUGAAAUGCAUAGAUAUAACACAGAACACCGAUCGCGAAGGCAGCUCACUAAUUUUCAACUGACGCUCAUGCACGAAAGCGUGGGGAUCAAACAGGAUUAGAUACCCUGGUAGUCCACGCUGUAAACGAUGAUCACUAGCUGUUGGUACGCUGAAGUAUCAGUGGCUAAGCGAAAGUGAUAAGUGAUCCACCUGGGGAGUACGACCGCAAGGUUGAAACUCAAAGGAAUUGACGGGGGCCCGCACAAGCGGAGGAGCAUGUGGUUUAAUUCGAUGAUACGCGAGGAACCUUACCAGGGCUCGAACGCAGGGGGGAUAUACCUGAAAGGGUAUAGCCAGCGAUGGUCGCCUGCGAGGUGCUGCAUGGUUGUCGUCAGCUCGUGCCGUGAGGUGUCAGGUUAAGUCCUAUAACGAGCGCAACCCUUAUCCAUAGUUGCCAGCGGGUAAAGCCGGGGACUCUAUGGGAACUGCCUGCGCAAGCAGAGAGGAAGGAGGGGAUGACGUCAAAUCAGCACGGCCCUUAUGUCCUGGGCUACACACGUGCUACAAUGGUCGGUACAGAGGGCAGCGACCACGUGAGUGGGAGCCAAUCCUUAAAAGCCGAUCUCAGUUCGGAUUGGAGUCUGCAACCCGACUCCAUGAAGUUGGAUUCGCUAGUAAUCGCGCAUCAGCCAUGGCGCGGUGAAUACGUUCCCGGGCCUUGUACACACCGCCCGUCAAGCCAUGGGAGCUGGGGGUACCUGAAGUUCGUGACCCGCGAGGGAGCGACCUAGGGUAAACUCAGUGACUGGGGCUAAGUCGUAACAAGGUCGCCGUAGAAUCG
rnacentral:rRNA from 1 species